AUAAAACUGUAUGAAUAGUAACUUGAAGUCUUUUGUAGAGAGCUAGCGUUUGGUGAAAGCUAGUAAAGUAUGACAAGCGAAUCCACAUACUAUGAUGCAUGGCGAAAGCAUUGAUUAAGCCAUCCGGAGCAAACCGUUAUCGCAAAUGAGUGCAAUGGAAACAUUGAAUACGGGUGGUACCGCGAAGAUAAAAGUGAAACACACAACUUCGUCCCAGUG
rnacentral:ncRNA from 1 species